UUACGGUCAUAUCACUUUCAAACACCGGCCCUCGUACGAACACCAACGUUAAGCAACGUCGAGCCUGGUUAGUAACUAGAUUGGUAACCACUUUGGAAUACCAAGUGCUGUU